GGCUUUCUGAUGGGUGAAAAGC
rnacentral:miRNA from 8 species